UACGAAGGGGGCUAGCGUUGCUCGGAAUUACUGGGCGUAAAGGGCGCGUAGGCGGAUGUUUAAGUCGGGGGUGAAAGCCCGGGGCUCAACCUCGGAAUAGCCUUCGAUACUGGACAUCUUGAGUACGGGAGAGGUGAGUGGAACUCCGAGUGUAGAGGUGAAAUUCGUAGAUAUUCGGAAGAACACCAGUGGCGAAGGCGACUCACUGGCCCGUUACUGACGCUGAGGCGCGAAAGCGUGGGGAGCAAACAGG
rnacentral:rRNA from 1 species